UACGGAGGGGGCUAGCGUUGUUCGGAAUUACUGGGCGUAAAGGGUGCGUAGGCGGCGCGGUAAGUCGGGUGUGAAAUCUCGGAGCUUAACUUCGAAACUGCAUUCGAUACUGCCGUGCUUGAGGACUGGAGAGGAGACUGGAAUUUACGGUGUAGCGGUGAAAUGCGUAGAUAUCGUAAGGAAGACCAGUGGCGAAGGCGGGUCUCUGGACAGUUCCUGACGCUGAGGCACGAAGGCCAGGGGGAGCAAACGGGG
rnacentral:rRNA from 1 species